rnacentral:rRNA from 1 species
AUGGCGGACGAGGGGAUGGCCAACUCCAUCGACAUUAUCCUGCCGCUGCUCGGGGUCUUCUUCAAGUUCGCCUGUGGGUCGUCUGCGCCGGAUGCCGCGCCCAGGGCCGCUGGUGGCCUCGAGGACGACGCCCAGGCUAAGGCAUACGAGGGCGCACCGCCACCGUAUGACAUGACCAAGCGCAUGGUCAUCCCCGACACGCUCAAGGUGCUGAGGCUGCAGCCUGCGCACAGGUACUGCGUCCUCGGCCAUCUCGCCAAGGAGGUCAGAUGGAACUACGCUGACACCAUCAGGAUGUUCGGGAUGGCGGAGAAGGAGAUGGAGUACCGGGUCGAGCUUUUCAACCGGUGA